ACGGCUCAGUAAUACGUAGUCAACCUGCCUUGGAGACAAGGACAACCCCGGGAAACUGGGAUUAAUCCUCGAUAGGUCAUCUCAUCUGGAAGGAGAGAUGGCUUAAAGGGGUACGAGGGCUUCUUCCACGUAUUCGCUCCAGGAUGGGACUGCGACCGAUCAGGCUGUUGGCGGGGUAAUGGCCCACCAAACCUGUAACCGGUACGGGCCUUGAGAGAGGUGGCCCGGAGAUGGACACUGAGAGAAGGGUCCAGGUCCUACGGGGCGCAGCAGGCGCGAAACCUUCGCAAUGCGCGAAAGCGUGACGAGGUUAAUCCGAGUGGUUCCCGCUGAGGGAAUCUUUUGUUGGCUCUAAAAUGGCCAGUGAAUAAGGGGAGGGCAAGUCUGGUGUCAGCCGCCGCGGUAAUACCAGCUCCUCGAGUGGUCGGGGCGAUUAUUGGGCCUAAAGCAUCCGUAGCCUGUUCUGUAGGUCUUCUGCUAAAUCCAACGGCUUAACCGUUGGCCUGCAGAAGAUACCGCAGGACUAGGAGGCGGGAGAGGUGGACGGUACUCCACGUGUAGGGGUAAAAUCCUUUGAUCCGUGGAAGACCACCAGUGGCGAAGGCGGUCCACCAGAACGCGCUCGACGGUGAGGGAUGAAAGCUGGGGGAGCGAACCGGAUUAGAUACCCGGGUAGUCCCAGCCGUAAACGAUGCGAGCUAGAUGAUCCAAUCGCAAAUCGCGAUUGGAGUGUCGCAGGGAAGCCGUUAAGCUCGCCGCCUGGGGAGUACGGUCGCAAGACUGAAACUUAAAGGAAUUGGCGGGGGAGCAC
rnacentral:rRNA from 1 species